AGUGAACGCUGGCGGUAGGCCUAACACAUGCAAGUCGAACGGCAGCACAGUAAGAGCUUGCUCUUACGGGUGGCGAGUGGCGGACGGGUGAGGAAUACAUCGGAAUCUACUUUUUCGUGGGUGAUAACGUAGGGAAACUUACGCUAAUACCGCAUACGACCUACGGGUGAAAGCAGGGGAUCUUCGGACCUUGCGCGAUUGAAUGAGCCGAUGUCGGAUUAGCUAGUUGGCGGGGUAAAGGCCCACCAAGGCGACGAUCCGUAGCUGGCCUGAGAGGAUGAUCAGCCACACUGGAACUGAGACACGGUCCAGACUCCUACGGGAGGCAGCAGUGGGGAAUAUUGGACAAUGGGCGCAAGCCUGAUCCAGCCAUACCGCGUGGGUGAAGAAGGCCUUCGGGUUGUAAAGCCCUUUUGUUGGGAAAGAAAAGCAGCAGGUUAAUACCCCGCUGUUCUGACGGUACCCAAAGAAUAAGCACCGGCUAACUUCGUG
rnacentral:rRNA from 1 species